GUUGCAGAAAAAAACGUGAAAGAGAUUGAUGUCAUGCGGAUACAAUUCAGCAAGCACUUCAGAUUCCCAGUGGAAACAUGGAUGUGAAAUGUUGAGAUAAGAAAACCAUCAUGCUCGUCGGUAGAUAUGCACUUCUCUCAGCCUCUAUUCGAGAUGCAUAAUCCUCUUCAUACAGCUCUUUCGAGGACAGUGAGAACUUGGAUUUGUUCUGGUAGGCGAGUUCUCAAGCAUCAAAGAUCUCCACAAGCUCCAGUCCCCUGC
rnacentral:lncRNA from 1 species